rnacentral:rRNA from 1 species
UACGGGGGGUGCGAGCGUUGUCCGGAAUCACUGGGCGUAAAGGGCGCGUAGGUGGUUUGAUAAGGGUGUGGUGAAAGUCCGGGGCUCAACCCCGGAUCUGCCGUGCCGACUGUCAAACUCGAGGACUGUAGAGGCAGACGGAAUUCCGGGUGUAGCGGUGGAAUGCGUAGAGAUCCGGAGGAAGACCGGUGGCGAAGGCGGUCUGCUGGGCAGUUUCUGACACCGAGGCGCGACAGCGUGGGGAGCAAACAGG